rnacentral:rRNA from 1 species
UACGAAGGGGGCUAGCGUUGCUCGGAAUCACUGGGCGUAAAGGGCGCGCAGGCGGCCCUUGAAGUCAGGCGUGAAAGCCCCGGGCUCAACCUGGGAGGUGCGCUUGAUACUCGAGGGCUUGAGUGCGGGAGAGGAGAGUGGAAUUCCCAGUGUAGAGGUGAAAUUCGUAGAUAUUAGGAAGAACACCGGUGGCGAAGGCGGCCCACUGGAUCGGUACUGACGCUGAGGUGCGAAAGCGUGGGGAGCAAACAGG